GACGAACGCUGGCGGCGUGCUUAACACAUGCAAGUCGAACGGUAAGGCCCUUCGGGGUACACGAGUGGCGAACGGGUGAGUAACACGUGGGUGAUCUGCCCUGCACUUCGGGUUAAGCCUGGGAAACUGGGUCUAAUACCGGAUAGGACCACUGCCUGCAUGGGUGGUGGUGGAAAGCUUUUGCGGUGUGGGAUGGGCCCGCGGCCUAUCAGCUUGUUGGUGGGGUGAUGGCCUACCAAGGCGACGACGGGUAGCCGGCCUGAGAGGGUGACCGGCCACACUGGGACUGAGAUACGGCCCAGAAUCCUACGGGAGGCAGCAGUGGGGAAUAUUGCACAAUGGGCGCAAGCCUGAUGCAGCGACGCCGCGUGAGGGAUGACGGCCUUCGGGUUGUAAACCUCUUUCAGCACCGACGAAGCGCAAGUGACGGUAGGUGCAGAAGAAGGACCGGCCAACUACGUGCCAGCCGCCGCGGUAA
rnacentral:rRNA from 1 species